rnacentral:rRNA from 1 species
GACGAACGCUGGCGGCGUGCCUAAUACAUGCAAGUAGAACGCUGAAGGAGGAGCUUGCUUCUCUGGAUGAGUUGCGAACGGGUGAGUAACGCGUAGGUAACCUGCCUGGUAGCGGGGGAUAACUAUUGGAAACGAUAGCCAAUACCGCAUAAGAGUAGAUGUCGCAUGACAUUUGCUUAAAAGGUGCAAUUGCAUCACUACCAGAUGGACCUGCGUUGUAUUAGCUAGUUGGUGAGGUAACGGCUCACCAAGGCAACGAUACAUAGCCGACCUGAGAGGGUGAUCGGCCACACUGGGACUGGGACACGGCCCAGACUCCUACGGGAGGCAGCAGUAGGGAAUCUUCGGCAAUGGACGGAAGUCUGACCGAGCAACGCCGCGUGAGUGAAGAAGGUUUUCGGAUCGUAAAGCUCUGUUGUAAGAGAAGAACGAGUGUGAGAGUGGAAAGUUCACACUGUGACGGUAUCUUACCAGAAAGGGACGGCUAACUACGUG